rnacentral:lncRNA from 1 species
AAACCCCAAGGGCUCUGCUCACAAUCACCAAACGAAGGAAAAAGCAGCUGGAAAUGCAGCCCGGAGAUGUGUUCCCAGGAGUUGAGACUCUGGCUCCCGUAGAUUGCACCUCACACACGCACACCCUGUCUGUCUGUGUGCAUUUAGAGCACGUUCUCAAGAUCGAGUCUGAUUCUCACAACGACCCCAAGUAACCACAAUGACAAGUGUGAUGAGUUUCCCACAGUUCACAGAACAAGAUGGGAAGAAUGGUCCAGAAUCAUCCCACAGAACAAUGACUCACCAAUAGCUGCACAACAGUCAGGACAGAGCACAUGUCCGGAAAAUUUCAUUUUAAUUUGCCUCAGCUGGGACUACAGUUACUGUUUGAAAGAAAGAACAAUCAACAAAGUACCUAGGAAAGAAGACAUCUUGCAACACUCUUCAAUUUCUUCUUAAAUGCUUGGGGGAAACGUGAAAAAUUUUGAUAAAUAGGAAAACAAAAUUGUUGGCAAUAAAAUUAAUAAACAGCUUA